rnacentral:rRNA from 2 species
GGGUUGUGAGGUUAAGCGACUAAGCGUACACGGUGGAUGCCCUGGCAGUCAGAGGCGAUGAAGGACGUGCUAAUCUGCGAUAAGCGUCGGUAAGGUGAUAUGAACCGUUAUAACCGGCGAUUUCCGAAUGGGGAAACCCAGUGUGUUUCGACACACUAUCAUUAACUGAAUCCAUAGGUUAAUGAGGCGAACCGGGGGAACUGAAACAUCUAAGUACCCCGAGGAAAAGAAAUCAACCGAGAUUCCCCCAGUAGCGGCGAGCGAACGGGGAGCAGCCCAGAGCCUGAAUCAGUGUGUGUGUUAGUGGAAGCGUCUGGAAAGGCGCGCGAUACAGGGUGACAGCCCCGUACACAAAAAUGCACAUGCUGUGAGCUCGAUGAGUAGGGCGGGACACGUGGUAUCCUGUCUGAAUAUGGGGGGACCAUCCUCCAAGGCUAAAUACUCCUGACUGACCGAUAGUGAACCAGUACCGUGAGGGAAAGGCGAAAAGAACCCCGGCGAGGGGAGUGAAAAAGAACCUGAAACCGUGUACGUACAAGCAGUGGGAGCACGCUU